GGCAGAGAUUGAGUGUAGCACUUCCUGGUCUCGCCUCUGUUCAGCUUCCUGUCGGCGGGCAAGUUCAGGUUUAACAGCGUUUAGCAACUGCUGAGGAGGGAUCUGUUCAUUUCCCCACAUAUUUGACCCACAGAUCUGUGUUUCACAGUUCACAGCCUCUGGAGAGGACAGUCACCUCAUCAUGGCCGGGCUUCUGCGCUCAGUAGUUCUGAGGCCCCCAGGCAGACUAAACACUAUGACCAAAGGCGUGGAGUCUCUCGUUUGCACAGAUUGGAUUCGUCAUAAAUUCACCAAGUCAAGAAUUCCAGAUAAAGUGUUUCAGCCUUCACCUGAAGAUCAUGAAAAAUAUGGUGGGGAUCCACAGCACCCUCAUAAACUGCAUCUCGUUACCAGAAUAAAAAGUACAAAAAGACGUCCAUAUUGGGAAAAAGAUGUAAUAAAGAUGCUUGGAUUACAAAAAGCGCAUACACCUCAAGUCCACAAGAACAUCCCUUCGGUGAACGCGAAACUGAAAGUGGUUAAGCAUUUGAUAAGAAUCAAGCCCCUGAGGUUGCCGCAAGGCCUUCCGGCAGAGGAGGACAUGGCCCACACCUGCCUCAAGAGCACUGGGGAGUUAGUCGUGCGGUGGAAUCUCAGCCCUGUGGACCAGGAAGCAACCAAGUCUUAAUGCCAGAGCCGUUUCAGAUUUAAAAAUGCAACUUAUUUUCACUUAAGAAUGAUACCUGGAGGGGUGGGGAGAAGUAAGAAUGUGAGCAGAGCUGCACUACUGGGAAAUUCUGUUCAUGGUAACGAAUCUCCAAAUUCUGGUUACCCUCCAUUUCUCCUUCCUUUCUUGUACAAUGUGGCUCAGACAGCAAGAACAUGGGCAUGUUUAUUGUUUGAGGUCCCAGGGCGCAUCCUGUCAUAGGUCCUUAUGUUUGGGGCCUCAGAGCGAAGUGCCACCUGGAAGGAAGCCAGCAGAGAUCCUUCAUUAGUAAACUUAAAGCAUCUGCAGUUUCAGAUAAACAGUUAUUGAAUAUCCAGUGCGUGUAAGGUGUGGAGGGGACACUACAAAGCGCUCGCUCGAACUGGAGAGAGCCGCGUGCCAAACAAAGGUGUCCUUGCUGCGCUUGGCUGAGGACAGCUGUGUACAUAACAGCUGGCCCCUGUUCAUUUAUUUUAUUUUACUGUGGAAACAUUAAUGUUUAAAACAUGGAAAAGAACAUAGGUUAAUUUUUACCCAAAGAGUUUAAUAACGUUUGGGUAAGUAUUUUCAACCUCAGCACUCCACAACUAGAGGAAAGGAUCAAAAGGAAUAUUUAGGAAUGAAAUUGUCUAGAAGAGGAAAAGUCUAUAGGGAGGAUAUGGACAUAGGCUAGCACAUUCGUUUUCUAUUGCUGUGUAACAAAUUACCACACACUUAGCUGCUUAAGACAUCACAUGUUUAUUAUCUGACCCUGUCUGUGAGUUGGAAGUCUGGGUUUAGCUGAACAAGUUCAUUUUUGCAAGUAAAUCUAUUCUUUUGCAUUUUUAGUUUGGCGUGGCUGGCGGGAGGGGUGCUGCUUCACACAGGCUCAGCAGGACCUCAGCGCCCCAGGAGGCCAGCCUUGGUUUUGUGGGUUCUGUGCCCCUAACCGGGUGUGUCAGGCAGGAUCGGCCUGUGCUUGCCCAUAACCCACCAAUCCUUCCUGUUCAGAUGGUAGAUGUGGAAACAGUGUCACAAAUCCACGCCCCUGCGAUACAAUCAGGGUAUAGCAUCCUGCUCAAAUGCU